rnacentral:rRNA from 1 species
GUGUCAGCCGCCGCGGUAAUACGGAGGGAGCGAACGUUGUUCGGAUUUACUGGGUGUAAAGGGUGCGUAGGCGGCCCCGUGUGUCGGAGGUGAAAUCCAGCGGCUCAACCGCUGGCCUGCCCCCGAAACUGCAGGGCUUGAGUCCGUGAGAGGAAGGCGGAAUUCCUGGUGUAACGGUGAAAUGUGCAGAUAUCAGGAAGAACACCCGUAGCGAAGGCGGCCUUCUGGUGCGGUACUGACGCUGAGGCACGAAAGCUAGGGUAUCGAACGGGAUUAGAUACCCGCGUAGUCC